rnacentral:rRNA from 1 species
AUGAAAUGGAGUCUACGGUAUCAUUUUGGCAGCAGCGGGAAGAGGAGGGAUGCUCUGCUCAUUCCUGAAGAAAUCAUGGGGAUCCACCAUGGUCUUCACAGCUGCCAACCUCUUAAAAUUUCCUUUGAAAUACUUGUGUCCCCAGCUGACUCUAGCCUUCUCAUAGCUGGUCACGUUACCGUCCAACUCAUUCGUCCCCAGGUCAAGGUCCCUGUAGUUGACAUACACAGCCCUUGGGUUGUUGGACACGUAAGGCUCCAUCUCCUUGUACAGUCCCCUGACCCAGCUCAUUCGCUUCUCCGCUGCCGCCGUCCCGUUCUCGUACCAGACUGA